UACGUAGGUUGCGAGCGUUAUCCGGAAUUACUGGGUGUAAAGGGCGUGUAGGCGGGGAUGCAAGUAAGAUGUGAAAUACAACGGCUCAACCGUAGUGCUGCAUCUGGAACUGUGUCUCUUGAGUGAUGGAGAGUAAAGCGGAAUUCCUAGUGUAGCGGUGAAAUGCGUAGAUAUUAGGAGGAACACCAGUGGCGAAGGCGGCUUUCUGGACAGUAACUGACGCUGAGGCGCGAAAGCGUGGGGAGCAAACAGG
rnacentral:rRNA from 1 species